GACGAACGCUGGCGGCGUGCUUAACACAUGCAAGUCGAACGGGAUUUAGUAGACAGAAGCCUCGGCUAAAGAUUACUAAUGAGAGUGGCGAACGGGUGAGUAACGCGUGAGCAACCUGCCUAUGACAGUGGGAUAGCCUCGGGAAACCGGGAUUAAUACCGCAUAAAAUCGUAGAAACACAUGUUUCAACGGUCAAAGAUUUAUCGGUCAUAGAUGGGCUCGCGUCUGAUUAGCUAGUUGGUGAGAUAACAGCCCACCAAGGUGACGAUCAGUAGCCGGUCUGAGAGGAUGAACGGCCACAUUGGAACUGAGACACGGUCCAAACUCCUACGGGAGGCAGCAGUGGGGAAUAUUGCACAAUGGGGGAAACCCUGAUGCAGCGACGCCGCGUGAACGAAGAAGGUAUUCGUAUCGUAAAGUUCUGUCCUAUGGGAAGAUAAUGACAGUACCAUAGAAGAAAGCUCCGGCUAAAUACGUG
rnacentral:rRNA from 1 species